ACAUGUCAGGUUGGCCAAAAUGAAGGCCGACAGCCCUGCCGACGGACAACGGCACGGCCCACACCGAACCGACUCAAGUCACUGACCUCGCCAGACUGUCCAACGCCCAAUUAUCGGUCCGGCUCCGCUGG